AGGUCCCUCAAUCAGCCAAUUGGAAGGUAACAUUGAAAUAUUGGAGGGCACGGAAUGAUGUAGGUGUCUUUAAGGUGGCAGAAGAGGAGAGCAGCAAUCUCCUCUGCAGCAAGGAAGUCACCAUGGCAACCCAGACACAGCCCACCUCCAGGCACCUGUCAACACAGCACUGUGAAGAAACAGGGUGUGGAAGAUAUACUUUCGUAAGUGGGAAGGAGGGAGACAAAACCAAAGGAGCAAGCAAGCAAAACACUGCGAGCAGAGCACAAUCAUCACAUUGCCCCUGGAACUCCUCCCACUACCCCCCACAUAUCAGAGACUGCUGGGCUGUAUUAGCUUGAUUUUACCUUUACCUAAAUUUCAUUUAGUCCUGUCAAAUUGUCACCAUGGCAGAUAGUACCCUGGGCAUGUCAUGUGGAAGCUUAUAGUUUUGGUGUCUUAGUGAAUCAUCCUAAGAGCUAUCCUGUCUAGGACUGUGGUCUCUGGUAGAUUCAACCAUAUGCAUGUGAUGAUGGACAAGGGAAGGAGGCCUAAUAAGGACAAUUCCUGGCCACCCGGGUUUGCUUUUGGCCAUAGGACAACCCCACCUUGACCCCAUCUUGUAAAAUCCCAAACAAUUGCAGAAACCCCCAAGCGGUCCUUGUGCCAUACUAUACAAAGAGGCACAAAUAAUAUAAAACCGGAUAUCCAAACCUCCUUCGUGGUUGUGAUUUUCUUUGUUUUAACUUGCAAGUGGGGUGGGUGUGGCAGCAGCAGCAUUUACAGUGGUGAUGCAACCCUCUGGAGUAACACAAGGGUUAGUGGCAGCAAAGGCAAGAUUGGCCAAACAGGGCCUCACAAUACCACGCCUGGAGCUAGUCGCCAGUCUCAUGGCCGCAAACUUAGCCACUAACAUAAACGAAAUAUUGGAAGGUCAUCCAGUCGAUCAAGUUUACUGUUGGUUAGACAGUACCGUCACUCUAUUACAUUAUUAGUUUGAGAAGUAACUGUAAUGAACUCUUCUUUCCAGUACUUAAGUUAUGGUUCUUUUUACCCUCAUGCAUGUAUUGUCUACUUUUAGGUAUCCCAUGGUCCUUUUUGACCUGUUAUGAUAUUGCAUUGUUCCUCUCCAUUCCUUCUGUCAUCAUUUUCUUUCUUGUUUUGAGGAGAGAGUUUCUCAGACUAGAUCAGGAAGCACAGUACAGCGUUGUCCGUGGUGAAGUUGAUUCUCUGUACUCAGUACACUCUCAGUCAACGGAUCAGAGUUAAAUGUGUUGGCAGUGUCCUGAUGUGACAGUAGAUUUCUGUGAACAAAUACUGGAUGAACUAAACAUGUUUAGUAAGAUACCAACUUUCAAGGUCGUUACUAGUGGUUAAUUCAUAAGCAGUCAUUACACAAUUGUCUGCUAUGAUUUGUUGUAUGAAUGAAACUGUUUUUCCAUUGAUUUGAAGAACUCUAUUUUAGGUAAACAUUAAGAUUAGACAAACCUUACAAGUUAAAGGAACUUGUUAGACACAAUUAAUGUAAAAUUGAAUGAAAUUCUACAAAAUGGUGUUCUUAAUAACUUAGACAAGUACCUCCCAAAAAUGAAAUUACUCCUCCAUUUAUGAAAAAAUAUUAAUAACAAUUUAGAGGACAGUUUUGGGGCCCUGUGCUUUAUUUGUAGCUUGAUCCAGUUAAACUACACUUUCAUUUACAUUUUCCUGCAGACAUUUCACUAUGAAAUUUUGUUUUCUCGUCAUUCGUCACUAAACUAAUGGUAAAUCUUAUUUUGAGCACAAUUUUUUUAAACAUAGUUUUAGACAUAUUUUAAACAAUGAUAGUUGCAAAAUACCACAAAUAGUUAUACCAUCCAAUCUUUUCAAAAUCCUUAGUGCUUUUUUAGUAGCUUACAAUAAUAAAUAAAAAUAAAAAAUAAAAAAUAAUGGCUGUUUUCAGCUGACCUCUGGCCAAGCUCUGCAUGGAUUCAUAUUUUUGGGGAUGGAACAGUAGGUGUGGUGGGCAAUGCGGCUUUGCCCUGAGCUGGUGGCGCAUACCUCCAGUCUAAAAUGUACAUGUAAGGGGAGUUGUGGAACCAGGUGCAUGUUAUAUUGUUUAGUCUACAGUUAUCCAUGCUUGCUUGGUGCUAUUUGUCAGUGGGCCUCAUAAUUUUAUUACAUAAUUAUGUAAUUAUACAAUGUAGUAUGUCCACUUCGUUAGCUACAUUCAAACUUCUCCACAAUGGCCACCCAAGGGACAAAGGAAAGUGGCCAUUGUGGAGAGGUGGUUGUUGUUGGGAGUUAGGGGUGUAAAAUGGCACUCGUUUUUUUUAUGGCAGGUGCAACAUUACUGUUAUUGUAUGUAACAGAAUCAAAAUAAUCAAUGAUACAGAAACCAAACAGAAACAGAGACCAACAUUGUGCGAUCCAGAUCAAAUUUCAUGACUUUUUGCAUUACAAAAUGGAGUUUUGCAAACACAGUUGUCAGUCGUUGUAUAACUGGCCAUUGUCAAGAGGUUAUUUUGGCAUUUGGGACUUGCUUCAGUGGCUGUUGCCAUUGUAGAGAGGCUUUAUAAAAGUGAAUGUAUUGACUGUCUGCUGGGACAAAAAAGAAGUGGCUGUUGUAGAUAGGUGGCUGUUACUGGAGGUUUGCCUGUAUUUAGAAUACCACACCCCGAGAAUAGUUGGUUGUAGCUAACUGGAUAGUUGCUUGCUCAAAUAGACUUAAUAUUUUUAGUAAUACCUUAGCUGGUAAAAGGAGUUUAUUCACAAACUUUAACUCUGGUUUGUUUUUUACUUUGAUUAAUUUCAUUUGUAAACCCUCUUGGCCUGUUUGGCAUACAAUGUCAGUAAUGAUAUUAUUGCCACAAAGGACUAUAUUUGCUUUGUGGUGGAUUUUGUGCUUAAAAAUCCUGGUCAAUUACAUGCAAUAUUCAAAAUUUUCACAUUUUUAAUCUGAACUUAUUCAAAUAUUGAUUCAAAUAAUUCCUUAAGUAUUGAUAGACUAGUAUAUUUCUUGUAACAAAUGGAGUAUUGCACAACUUUAAAUUAAAACUAUGUACACCUGAAGUUAUCAUAGAUCAUGAUUUACAUUUCUUUAAUUUGGAUAAUUUUUCUGUUUAAUAUAUACUUCUUCACUUCCACCACUUUUGCAAAUGUUUUUUGUUUCUAGUGCAAGAUGAUAAGGCAAGUUAAUAGCAAGAAUCCUACAAUGCAAUGCAAACAAAUGAUCAAUAUUUUAGCUGGCACAGCUCCAGGAAAAAAAAAAAAAAA